rnacentral:lncRNA from 1 species
AGUUUCUCAUGGUCACGUGCUUCUAUUUAGUUCACUCAGAACCUCAUGUUUUUAUUAUUUUACCUCCACUCUGCCCUGAUUGAUAAUAGAAACCCUCAAUACCAUACCGCCAAACUCUUACUCUCAUGCAGAUAGACCAGGGAUUCUUUCUGUGGCUUUGCCUUGUAACACUUAACACUUCUUGUCCCAGGGCCAUUUCUGAACAGUAGAGGUUACACUUACUCCACUGAACAGCUCGUUCCAAAUCCUGUCAUCAAAUCCUAUAUGUUCCUGUUCCAAAUGGAAUGCACAUUUUUCUUCACAUUGAAAGAAAAAAACUAUAAGGUCAUUUCAACAGAUGCAGAAAAAGCAUUUGAUAUGUUAACUCACCAAACUACAAAUGGAUCCGUCCCUGGUUAAGCCCAGAGACAAGCCCUGGCCAGCACCUUGUUUGCAGGCUUGUGACCCUAAGCAUAGAAUCCAGCUAAUCUGCGCCUGACUCUUCACCCACAGAAAUUGUGAGAUGACAAAUGUGUGUUGUUUUAAGCUACUAAGUUUGUGUUAAUUUGUUACACAAUAGAAAAUUGAUACUCAUUUC